GGGAUAUUAGCUCAGGUGGUAGAGCACUUGACUUUUAAUCAAGUUGUCCGGGGUUCGAAUCCCCGAUGUCUCA
rfam:[Eubacterium rectale] ATCC 33656 chromosome, complete genome.